GAGUGAGGGUGUGACUAGUGACAGUUAGGCAGGGAAGGGGUGACUAGUGACAGAGGGAGGGGUGACUAGGGACAGAGUGAGGGAGGUGGUGACUAGUGACAGUCACCACCUCCCUCACUCUGUCACUAGUCACCACCUCCCUCCGUCACUGUGUCACCCCCUCCCUCACUCUGUCACCAGUCAUCCCCUUACUCUGUCACUAGUCACCCCUCCCUCACUCUGCCACUAGUCACCCCUUCCCUCACUC
rnacentral:sRNA from 1 species